rnacentral:ncRNA from 3 species
UUCGGGGUAGGGACUAAAGCGUUAAGUGCUGAUGGAACGGAAUGUGAACAUCAGACGAAAAGCAGCAAUGCUUGCGGUUUUGGUCCCGCAUUCGCCGCA